rnacentral:rRNA from 1 species
AUUGAACGCUGGCGGCAGGCCUAACACAUGCAAGUCGAACGAGUGGCGGACGGGUGAGUAAUGUCUGGGAAACUGCCCGAUGGAGGGGGAUAACUACUGGAACCGGUAGCUAAUACCGCAUACCAUCGGAUGUGCCCAGAUGGGAUUAGCUAGUAGGUGGGGUAACGGCUCACAUAGGCGACGAUCACUAGCUGGUCUGAGAGGAUGACCAGCCACACCGGAAAUUGGCAACCGUCCAGACUCCUACGGGAGGCAGCGGGGGGGAAUAUUGCACAAUGGGCGGAAACCUGAUGCAGCCAUGCCGCGUGGAUUAAGAAGGCCUUCGGGUUGUAAAGUACUUUCAGCGAGGAGGCGUUACUCGCAGAAUAAGCACCGGCUAACUCCGUGCCAGCAGCCGCGGUAAUAC